GCUGAGCUGGAGAAGAUGGAAGCAAAGCUUAGUGCUGCAGUCAGGGAGAAAACGUCUCUCUCUGCAAGCAACACUACGCUGGAAAAGCAGCUUACUGAAUUAACCAGGACUAACGAGCUACUCAAAUCCAAGUUUUCUGAAGAUAGUAACCAGAAGAACCUGAGAAUUCUAAGCCUUGAGCUGAUGAAGCUUAG